AGCGGCCCCGCCCCCGGCCCAGGUGAGCGGCCCCGCCUAGCUGCAGGUGAGUGAAUCAUUGCUGGGGACAAGAGAAAGGAUUGUCAACUUUGGGCAAGCAAAGUGGAGAUGGUUCCCUGGCAAGAAAAACCCUUUAGGGAGGGAAAUUUGGAAAAGGUGUGACCCUAAAACAAAAC